AUGGCCCUCGCCUUCACCUCAUCCGUCCCCUUCCCGGCCGCCGCUGCCCGCGGUCUGCUGCAGCAGCAGCAGGCCUUUCUGGAGGCCAUGGAGGAAGCGCACGGAAAGUUCCAUGCCAUCAUCAGCGCCGGCGACAAGACCGUCCUGGAGCGCCUCUCCAUCACCGCCAAGGACAGCCUUGACCUCCUGGUGAGCAUGACGAAGGAUCAUCCCUUCCCACUCCCCGACGCCAUGUACCAGGAGGUGGCGCGCAUCACUUUGGCGUUCCUGGAGGUGGAGGGCGAGUGCGAGGGCGGCUACGCCAGCGCCGACACCGCGCUGGCCGCCAUCGAUGCCUUGUGCAAGAUGUCCGCGACCUUCCUCGGCUCUGGCGUGGAUGACCCGGAGUGGCACCCGGCUCUUGUCGGCGACGUCUCCGAUGAGGAAGACAAGGCCAACUACCUCCUCAACCUGGCUGACGGCUUCUGCCUGUUCCACUUCAAACUGUUGUGGCGUUACCGCCAGGCUUCUCCGGCCAUGGAGGAGGAGGCUCCCGUCGUCGCCUACAAGUACCCGUACCAGGCCAUGCUGGUGCAGAAUGACAAGGAUCUCACCGAGCACCUCCGCACCACCACCAAGGACUGCCAAGAUUUGGAUGAUGAGAUAUGGGAAAUAAGGUACCAUUUUCAAGGGAAAGACAACUUGGAAAGGACCAUUUCUCUGUCAGAAAUCACUUAUAUUAACAUGUUAGCACUGCUAGAGACUGAAGAGGGAUAUACUGAAGCUAACUACAUGUUCUAUAUGAAAGAAGAGGGAAAGGGGGCAGCAGGGAUGCAGGUUAUUGACAGUGAAGAUAGUGUGGAGGAGAUGCUAGACCAUUAUGCUGAGCGGAAGGUGCUCAACAUAACUGUGAUUAAGGCUAAUGAGCCUAAUCCAGGAGAGUUUAACAGGGCAAAUAUUGUGGAGGAACAAGUACCUAUAAAUAAUGUAGGGGAUUCCAACAUUAUUUCUAUAGAUGAGGCAGGAGUAUUGUUCCCUAUUUCUGUUGAAGACACAGUUGAGGAGUUGUAUGAUGUUCCUAUUGCUGUUGUAGAGCCAGGUGAAGAGGCUGCUUACAUUAAUACACAACAGAGCAUGACUUUGAGAAAAGCAAAGGGCAAAGAGAAUUUACAGGAAGAUGUUAGACCCUCUGAUGAUGAAGGGUUUGUUGAUUUGAACUGAGAAGUGGAAGAGAUGUGUCCAGAGGUAGAGGACUUAGACACAGAACCUGAGAUACCACUUCCUCAAACAUUUAAGAAAGUAGGCAAAGCAGGCCCCACUACAAGAUCACACCAUGAAGCUGACAUUGAGGUAAUUCCUGAUUUCAUUCCAUCAGAUGAUUCAGCUUGUUUCCUUGGGGACUAUGGCAUUAGUGAAUCAGAUGAUGAGUCAGGUCUGCCACUGCCUUGUGGAAGGAAGGGUCCAGCCAAGAGGGCCAUGACUAGGAUCUGGUAUGAUGAGAGCAAGCCAGAUGCUCAUGACCAACUUUGCAUGAGUAUGUGCUUCACUGAUGUGUAUCAGUUUAGAAGAGCACUUAGGAAUUUUCAUAUCAGAAUCCUUAGGAAUUUUGUGUACCAUAGGAACUGCAAGGAUAGGAUCAUUGUGCAUUGCACAGAAAGGGACAAUGGGUGUCCUUUUUUCAUGACUGCAUCAACAAUUGCUCAUGAGAAAACAUUCUGCAUCAAGAAGAUCAAGUUGUUACACACUUGUGGUGCACAUGGAGAAAAAACAAAAGUGACAGUUGACUGGAUGGCCAGAACCUGUGAGCAGCAACUGAGAGAUAAUCCAAGGGCUGGUGUUGAUGCAAUUUUAAAAAGAACAAGGACUAAGUAUGGGCUUGAAGUGCCAAAGACAAAGGCCUACAGGGAAAGGUCAUUGGCCAUUGAAGUGGUGGAAGGUGACAUGAAGGGACAAUAUACAAGGUUUAUGGAUUAUCUUCAAGUUGUGCUUGAUACCAAUCCUGGGAGCAGAUGCAUUGUGACUACCACAGAGCUUGAGCUCCAUCCUAGUCCAAAUCCUAGGUUCCACUACAUGUUCUACUGUCUGAAUGCUUCAAAAGAAGGUUUAGAUGGCUGCUUUAUCAAGCUUUCUACUGGGCAACAGAUACUUGCUGCCACUAGGAGGGAUGGGAAUAACAACAUAUUCCCUAUUGUAAUUGGUAUUGUUGAUAAGGAGGACAAGGAUAGUUGGACUUGGUUUCUUAGCCAGUUAAGAGCUUGCACUGGAGAAGGGAACAAGUGGGGCACAUACACAAUCAUCUCUGAUAGACAGAAGGGGUUGUUGAAUGCAAUUCAAGCUAUGUUCCCACACUCACCUCAAAGAUAUUGUCUUAGACAUAUCUAUGCAAAUUCCCAGUCAGCAGGCUACAGGAGUGAGGAGUUGAAGAAGCAUAUGGACAAUGUUGCAUAUGCAUACACAAAGAAUGGUUUUGAGGUUGCAAUGAACGAACUGAAAAAGGAGGAUGAAGAUGCUUGGAAGUGGCUUUCUAAUAUCCCUAAAGAGACUUGGGCAAGGCAUGCUAUGGAUCACACAUGCAAGAUAGACCUAGUAGUCAACAAUCUUAGUGAAGUAUUUAACAAGAUGAUACUAGAUGUGAGGAACAAGCCAAUAAGUAGCUGUGUAGAUGGAUUCAGAACUAAGUUGAUGGUUAAGUACCAAGUAGUUAGAGAGAAGACAGAGAAGAGUAAGUGGGAGAUAACACCCACUUAUAUGGAGAAGUUGGAGGAGUCAAAGAAGUACUCUAGGCAUUGCACUGCUUACAUGGCAGGUCCUGGUAUUUGGCAAGUCACUAGUGGGGAGUCUACCUACUGUGUGAACCUUGAUAAGUGGACCUGUGACUGCAAGAAGUGGGACCUAUGUGGUUGGCCAUGUAACCAUGCAGUUUCUGCCAUUACAAGAGUGAAGGGACAGCCAGAAGACUAUGCGCAUGAGUUCUUCAAAAAACCAUUGUAUAAGGAAACAUACAAGCACAUCAUCUACCCUGUACCAGGGCCUGAUUGUUGGCCUAAGACACCAACUGCUGACAUAGAUCCACCAGUGUUCAAAGAGAAGAAGGGCAGGAAGCAAACAGCUAGGAGGAAGGGGCAAUUUGAGGUCCCAACAAGGAAGGAUACAUCAAAGAUGGCAACUAUCACCUGCAGCAACUGCAAGAUGCAGAAACAUAGGUACACCUAUUGCCCUCAGCCCCUGAAGCCUCAUCUUCAAGCAAGAAAGGACAAGCACAAGGUAUUGAAUAUGCACAUUGUUGUCCUUGUUUUCAACUUAACAUUACCAUGA
rnacentral:rRNA from 1 species